rnacentral:rRNA from 1 species
GGCUCAGAACGAACGCUGGCGGCGCGCCUAAUACAUGCAAGUCGAGCGAGAAGACGUAGCAAUACGUUUGUAAAGCGGCGAACGGGUGAGGAGUGCAUGGGUAACCUACCCUCGAGUGGGGGAUAACUAGCCGAAAGGUUAGCUAAUACCGCAUACGAUUCCCGGACUGCGGUUCGGGAAGGAAAGCGAUACCGUGGGUAUUGCGCUCAUGGAUGGGCUCAUGUCCUAUCAGCUUGUUGGUGAGGUAACGGCUCACCAAGGCUUCGACGGGUAGCUGGUCUGAGAGGACGAUCAGCCACACUGGCACUGCGACACGGGCCAGACUCCUACGGGAGGCAGCAGUAAGGAAUAUUGCGCAAUGGACGAAAGUCUGACGCAGCGACGCCGCGUGGGGGAUGAAGGUCUUCGGAUUGUAAACCCCUUUCGGGAGGGAAGAUGGAGUGGGUAACCACUUGGACGGUACCUCCAGAAGCAGCCACGGCUAACUUCGUGCCAGCAGCCGCGGUAAUACGAAGGUGGCAAGCGUUGUUCGGAUUUACUGGGCGUACAGGGAGCGUAGGCGGUUCGGUAAGCCUUCUGUUAAAGCUUCGGGCCCAACCCGGAAAGCGCAGAGGGUACUGCCAGGCUAGAGGGUGGGAGAGGAGCGCGGAAUUCCCGGUGUAGCGGUGAAAUGCGUAGAGA